AUACUCUGGUUUCUCUUCACAUCGAAUAAAGCUUUCGCCUUUACUAAAGUUUUUCUGUGGAGACGAUCAUCCAUGAGUUUAAAUUUUUUUUUUUUUUUGAGGCUCUGCCCCUUGCAGGGCU